CUCUGGUCAAGUCUGAGGACCUGCAGUGGACAACGUCAGCGAGAAGGACCCUCACACAGCUGCAGAGAGGCCAGAAUGCGCACAGAAGGAGCUGCACCACAGGAGCAGGCUGCAGGCUCUGGAGAGGGAGAACAACCAGCUGGCUGCUGGGAUCCAGAGGUGGAAGGUGGGCAGGAGCUGGGCUGCCUGGGGUGGCGUGAGGUAGCCCCAUCUGCAGUCAGGGCC